UACUUGUAAAAGUAUUCUAGCCCUACUCUAUAUAUAUAUAUAUAUAUAUAUUUAUAAUUGGUAUAUAAAGUUCUAAGUUUGAAGUCUAACUGUUUUAUAUUUUUAGUAGAUUGUAUUUAAAAAAUAAAAAAAUAGUUUGUUAUCUUCCUCUUUUAAAAAAUAAAAAAAUUAGCCUACCGAGGCAAAUUUAUCUAAAGUUAAAUUCUGUAGUGAACUAUUAGGAACAAUCAUUAUUUUUGUUAAAUUAUUAUUUUAUCUUUUCAAAUAUAUCUUUUACUAUCAUUAAUUUUUCUCAUUUGUCUUUGAAGCUAGUGGCAUAAAAAGUAUUUUGAAUUUUUAUUUUUUCUAAUAUUCCCUUCUACUGUCAUCAACUUUUCUUAUUGUCAUUUAGUUAGGGACAAAAAAGGUAUUUUGACUUCUGUAUAACUCUGAUAGAAAUUUAAUUCGGUUUUAACCCAUGAUGACCUAAAGGUUACUAAUUAUGGGGUUAUUUUUGAGUAACGGAGAGAUAUACGAGGGUAUAUUUGAAAUAUAAAAAGAAAAAAUAUAUAAGAUAUUUUAAAAGUUUCGAGUGAUAUAUAAGUAA
rnacentral:lncRNA from 1 species